rnacentral:lncRNA from 1 species
GUCCUUUUUUUAACUCCCUCCAUCUCCGAUUUUGGCCGCUUGACUUCAUGGGAUUCCACAAAUUUCUUCCGCGGACUCGGAUCCCGUUUAGUUUUGAGGGCAUCCAAACCGAGCACGGUGUCUCCGAUAGCAGCACCUUUUUGGAUGGAACCUCGGAGUCUCUCUCGUCAGAGAAUCCAAAGGCCAAUGGAGACUCUUGAAACACGUUUUCUUUGCUUUGAGAAAGCGAAUUGCGACCAAAGAGAGUGGACCCCACCACGAGUGCGGAAUGGACCGCCGGAGAU